CCGUGCUAGAUGGGGAAUUAGCGGUGCCCUAUUACCUGCAAUCCGCUAUAGCAGGAUCGAUGCUAACGCCAGGCCAUUGCUGACUUAGACAAGAAAAUAAGUAGUGUUGACAUUCUGGACUGUUGCAAUAAUUGGUAGACAAAUCCCGUCAGGCCCGGAAGGGAGCAGCGGUAAAUCUUUCCAGCUAUGUGCUGGCAGAAACCGGUAUGGAGCUGGCUGUUUCU
rnacentral:SRP_RNA from 1 species